rnacentral:rRNA from 1 species
GCUUGACUGUAUCUUGGAAUUGGGUUCGGGCUUUUCUUGCGCAGACUAGGUGGGAGGCUAUGAAGAUUUUCUUCUGGGAAAGUUGGAGCCAACAGUGAGAGACCACUCUGGAAAGGCUAGAAUCCUAAUGGUGAUCCUUGGAUCAGGACACUUGACAGUUUCAGGUGGGCAGUUUUUCUGGGGCGGAAGCCUCAUAAAAGGUAACUGAGGCGCGCAAAGGUCCCCUCAGUCUGGACGGAAAUCAGACAUUGAGUGUAAAGGCAAAAGGGGGCUUGACUGCAAGACCCACAAGUCGAGCAGGGGCGAAAGCUGGCCUUAGUGAUCCGACGGUGCCGUGUGGAAGGGCCGUCGCUCAACGAAUAAAAGUUA